rnacentral:ribozyme from 11 species
UUCCCUUUUUUUUUUUUUUUUUUUUUUUUUUUUAUU